rnacentral:rRNA from 1 species
UAGCCGUAGUCGAUGGAUAACAGGUUGAAAUUCCUGUACUGCUUAUGGACAGAACUGUGGGGACGCAGAAGGAGAGCACGAGCCGGAAAUGGAAAAGCCGGUACAAACGUAUAGCAGUCAUGCAGGCAAAACCGCAUGAAAAAUGUAAAGCGUUAUGUGGAUCGAACAUUAGUAGAAAAGCGUGUGAGCCAGCUGCCAAGAAAAGCCGCUAUUGUUUCAUAAGUACCCGUACCGUAAACCGACACAGGUGGAUGAGGAGAGAAUCCUAAGGCCGGCGGGAGAAGUGUUGUUAAGGAACUCGGCAAAAUGACUCCGUAACUUCGGGAGAAGGAGUGCCACAGAGAUGUGGCCGCAGAGAAGUGGCCCAAGCAACUGUUUAGCAAAAACACAGGUCUAUGCAAAACCGAAAGGUGAGGUAUAUGGGCUGACGCCUGCCCGGUGCUGGAAGGUUAAGAGGAGAGGUUAGAGCAAUCGAAGCUAUGAAUUUAAGCCCCAGUAAACGGCGGCCGUAACGAUAACGGUCCUAAGGUAGCGAAAUUCCUUGUCGGGUAAGUUCCGACCCGCACGAAAGGCAUAAUGAUUUGGGCACUGUCUCAACAACACACCCGGUGAAAUUGAAAUACCAGUGAAGAUGCUGGUUACCUGCGCCAGGACGGAAAGACCCCAUGGAGCUUUACUCCAGUUUGAUACUGGGAUUCGGUACUGUCUGUACAGGAUAGGUGGGAGGCUAGGAAAUGGUGACGCCAGUUGCCAUGGAGCCAACCUUGGGAUACCACCCUUACAGUACUGGGUUUCUAACCUGCAGCCGUAACCCGGCUGGGGGACAAUGUCUGACGGGGAGUUUGACUGGGGCGGUCGCCUCCGAAAGAGUAUCGGAGGCGCUCAAAGGUUCCCUCAGAACGGUUGGAAACCGUUCGAAGAGUGCAAAGGCAGAAGGGAGCUUGACUGCGACACCGACGGGUGGAGCAGAUACGAAAGUAGGACUUAGUGAUCCGGUGGUAUAAAGUGGGAUUGCCAUCGCUCAACGGAUAAAAGCUACCCUGGGAUAACAGGCUUAUCACUCCCAAGAGUUCACAUCGACGGAGUGGUUUGGCACCUCGAUGUCGGCUCAUCGCAUCCUGGAGCUGUAGCAGGUUCCAAGGGUUGGGCUGUUCGCCCAUUAAAGCGGUACGCGAGCUGGGUUCAGAACGUCGUGAGACAGUUCGGUCCCUAUCCGGCGUGGGCGUAGGAUAUUUGAGAGGAGCUGUCCUUAGUACGAGAGGACCGGGAUGGACAAACCUCUGGUGCAUCUGUUGUUUUACCAAAGGCAUGGCAGAGUAGCCAAGUUUGGCAGGGAUAAACGCUGAAGGCAUCUAAGCGUGAAGCCCCCCUCAAGAUAAGAUAUCCCAUCUUCGGAGUAAGACCCCUUGAAGACUACAAGGUUGAUAGGCUUCAGGUGUAAGUGCGGUAACGCACUCAGCUGAGAAGUACUAAUAGGUCGAGGACUU